rnacentral:rRNA from 1 species
ACAUGCAAGUCGAACGGACUUAAUCGAUUCUUUUAGAUUCGAAGCGGUUAGUGGCGGACUGGUGAGUAACACGUAAGCAACCUGCCUGUUAGAGGGGAAUAACAGUGAGAAAUCACUGCUAAAACCGCAUAUGCCGUGAACAUCGCAUGAUGAAAACGGGAAAAGAGCAAUCUGCUAAUAGAUGGGCUUGCGUCUGAUUAGCUAGUUGGUGUGGUAAAGGCAUACCAAGGCAACGAUCAGUAGCCGGACUGAGAGGUUGAACGGCCACAUUGGGACUGAGAUACGGCCCAGACUCCUACGGGAGGCAGCAGUCGGGAAUAUUGCGCAAUGGAGGAAACUCUGACGCAGUGACGCCGCGUAUGGGAAGAAGGUUUUCGGAUUGUAAACCAUUUUAGACAAGGAAGAAACAAGACAGUACUUGUAGAAUAAGCUCCGGCUAACUACGUGCCAGCAGCCGCGGUAAUACGUAGGGAGCAAGCGUUAUCCGGAUUUAUUGGGUGUAAAGGGUGCGUAGACGGGAAGGUAAGUUAGUUGUGAAAUCCCUCGGCUCAACUGAGGAACUGCGACUAAAACUGCUUUUCUUGAGUGCUGGAGAGGAAAGUGGAAUUCCUAGUGUAGCGGUGAAAUGCGUAGAUAUUAGGAGGAACACCAGUGGCGAAGGCGACUUUCUGGACAGUAACUGACGUUGAGGCACGAAAGUGUGGGG